rnacentral:rRNA from 1 species
CAGGCCUAACACAUGCAAGUCGAACGCUAAUGCAAGAUAGAGUGGCGCACGGGUGAGUAACACGUGGGAAUCUGCCCUUCUCUGCGGGACAACAGUUGGAAACGACUGCUAAUACCGCAUACGCCCUUCGGGGGAAAGGUCCGCCGGAGAAGGAGGAGCCCGCGUCUGAUUAGCUUGUUGGUGGGGUAAAGGCCUACCAAGGCGACGAUCAGUAGCUGGUCUGAGAGGAUGAUCAGCCACACUGGGACUGAGACACGGCCCAGACUCCUACGGGAGGCAGCAGUGGGGAAUAUUGGACAAUGGAGGCAACUCUGAUCCAGCAAUGCCGCGUGUGUGAUGAAGGCCCUAGGGUUGUAAAGCACUUUCAUUGGUGAAGAUGAUGACGGUAACCAAAGAAGAAGCCCCGGCUAACUUCGUGCCAGCAGCCGCGGUAAUACGAAGGGGGCGAGCGUUGUUCGGAAUUACUGGGCGUAAAGGGAGCGCAGGCGGUUCAUUUAGUUAGGCGUGGAAGCCCCGGGCUCAACCUGGGAACUGCGCUUAAUACUGAUGAGCUAGAAAACAGAAGAGGAUAGUGGAAUUCCCAGUGUAGAGGUGAAAUUCGUAGAUAUUGGGAAGAACACCGGUGGCGAAAGCGGCUAUCUGGUCUGAU